rnacentral:rRNA from 1 species
AACGAACGCUGGCGGCGUGGAUAAGACAUGCAAGUCGAACGGGAUUUUCUUUGGUAGCAAUACCGAAGAAAGUCUAGUGGCGAACGGGUGCGUAACACGUGGGCAAUCUGCCUUAAAGUGGGGGAUAGCUCGGCGAAAGCCGGAUUAAUACCGCAUGUGAUUACCGGAGACAUCUUCGGAACAUCAAAGUCGGGGCAACCUGACGCUUUUUGAGGAGCCCGCGGCCUAUCAGCUAGUUGGGGAGGUAACGGCUCACCAAGGCUUUGACGGGUGGCGGGUGUGAGAGGACGACCAGUCACACUGGAACUGGGACACGGUCCAGAAACCUACGGGGGGCAGCAGUCGAGAAUUUUUCUCAAUGGGGGAAAACCUGAAGGAGCGACGCCGCGUGGAGGAUGAAGGUCUUCGGGUUGUAAACUCCUGUCAUUUGGGAACAAUGCUUACGUAUUAACUGUACGUGAGUUGAUAGUACCAGAAGAGGAAGAGACGGCUAACUCUGUGCCAGCAGCCGCCGUAAAAC